rnacentral:rRNA from 1 species
GAUGAACGCUGGCGGCGUGCCUAAUACAUGCAAGUCGAGCGAAUUGACGAGGAGCUUGCUCCUCUGACGUUAGCGGCGGACGGGUGAGUAACACGUGGAUAACCUACCUAUAAGACUGGGAUAACUUCGGGAAACCGGAGCUAAUACCGGAUAAUAUAUUGAACUGCAUGGUUCAAUAGUGAAAUACGGUUUUGCUGUCACUGAGAGAUGGAUCCGCGCCGCAUUCGCUAGUUGGUAAGUUAACGGCUUACAAAGGCGACGACGCGUAGCCGACCUGAGAGGGUGAUCGGCCACACUGGAACUGAGACACGAUCCAGACUCCUACGAGAGGCAGCAGUAGGGAAUCUUCCGCAGUGGGCGAGAGCCUGGCGGGACAACGCCACGUGAGUGAUGAAGAUAUUCGGAUCGUAAAACUCUGUAAUUAGGGAAGACCUAAUGUGUAAGUCACUAUGCACGUGUUGACGGUACCUAAUCAGAAAGCCCCGGCUAACUACGUG